AGAGUUUGAUCCUGGCUCAGAACGAACGCUGGCGGCGUGGAUAAGACAUGCAAGUCGAACGAUCACACAGAUGCAGCAAUGUAGCUGUGUGGGAGUGGCGAAAGGGUGCGUAACACGUGGGUAAUCUGCCUUCAAGUUUGGGAUAACUCCGGGAAACCGGAACUAAUACCGGAUGUGAUUCAGGAAGGGCAUCUUUCCUG
rnacentral:rRNA from 1 species